rnacentral:lncRNA from 1 species
GCUGGUGGCCUUCCACAAAAUACUUCUUUUGUGCAGCUCUGAAAUGUUCCAGCCAGCAACAAUUCCUGCUGCUCACACCAGCCCCUUUCCAAGCAGGAGGAAUUUGUGUAAGCAGCCAGACAACUUAGUAUCAGGAGAAUAAAAUACUCAGGUGAGUGUUAUCAACUCUCAGCCAGAAGCUGCAUCCUCAGCUCCUUAUCUCUCCCAGUUGUCUCAGAUGUGGUAGAAGCGGCAGGAAAUCAUUGAUUCUGGAAGGGAAAGCAGAAGGAGGAGAGGCAGUGGCUGCUCCCUGGGGCCUUGGGAGCAGCGAGAGCUAUCCAAAAUAGGAUCUCUGCUGAGUUAUGGAGAUAGAGUGACCAACCAGCAAUGCUCUGUUUGAGCCAUCUGUGAAUGUGAGCAUGGAAAUCUGACCUUGUAAAACAGAGAAAAAGGGGUCCAUAGGUAUUUACCACAACUUGGAGGGGCUCUGAGUCACCUACUCCAGUGGAAGGUGUUCCUACCCAUGGCAGAGGGGUUGGAUCUAGAGGGUCUUUAAGAUCCCUUCCAACUCAAGCCCCUCUGUGAGUCUGAAUUACAAACCCACAAUGACAAAGAGAACACAGCAAACCUGGGUCCCACUACACUAUUGGAGGCUGCCGUAGUCACUUGUGCCACCUGGAGACUGGUUUGUAUCUGGAGAAGUUUUCACGGUCCCACAGUAUUUGGGUGUGACUUUCCUGGUUGAGGGCCCCAAAAGAUGCCAGAAGAGAUUAUUUGCAAGCUGAGAAUUGGUUAAGCUGCCUGUCAACCUGAUGGGAGAAGUGUACUCGUGUUAUUGCAGUGUUUACCCUGGACAGGCUAGAUAAUCUGUUUGCUAUACAUCCUGGAGGGGGCUUUGUCGUUAAGAAUGAAAAGCAAAAAGACAUUUCUCUUCAGAAGAGUCUUGAAAGAGCUUUUUGUAUUAUCAGAAGCAGCUACACUGAUACUGGCCAAUGUGGGAAAUGGAUUUGUAGAGAGUUUUCAGGGCCUUGACAGAAGGCCCACACAGUAUGUAUCUGUAUGCAAUCUUGAGAUAAGAAAUGCUGAUUCAGAAAUGCUAUGGAGUAGGAUAGAUAUUGUUGAGAGAGAAAUGGAGCUAGAAGAAAGUUUCAUAGGAUGGUCUUAUAAAUAAGACUAGAUACUUUGGAGAAACAGAACUAUGAAAGAUGUAUUGUAGUAGGAUCCACGAGGGGUAUUUUUACAUGAUUUGCUUUAAGGCAUCUACAGCAUGGCGUGGCAAAAAGCUGAUAGGCUAAGAAACGCUUCUAGUGUAUUGUAAUUAGGAAAUAGCUUCUGAUUGUGAUGGCAUGAAUUCUAACAUCUGUAUUGUCUCACCCUUCUCAUGAGACUUAAAAUAGAAUAUAAGUUUUUAAAACGCCUCUCAGUUCCCCAUCUCUGAAUCAGGAAAAAAAUAUUGUCCAACAAAUUUGUGUUCUCGUGUCAGGAGCAAAUAACCAACAGUCUAACACACCUUGGUAAAACAGUUCAUAGUACAGGUAUGCUGGGCAUAGGGCCAGACGUCACUGUGAUUUCUCAUGUAUCCUGGCUGUGCAAUUGGAAUUUGGUAACACCUAAGGGUGCUCUCACAGGAAUUGGAGGAGCUGCCUUGUCUGCAAAGUGAAUUCAGGAUUACUGUUACAGGUCCCAAGGGAAGGACAGCAAUCAUCCGUCCCCUUGUGGUGCAGAAGCCUAUCACAGUAUGGGGAAGAGAUGUGUUGUCUGAGGGGGGAGCGAAGAUAGAAGGGGGUUUUUGAUGAAAACCACAGCAACACCUGCCACUCUGAAAUUGUCAUAGAAAACCAAUCAGCCGAUUUGGAUUAAUCAAUGGCCUCUUACACCAAAAAAAUUGAAUAUUUUCCAAAAAUUAGUAAGCGAACAACUACAAGAAGACCACAUCAAACCUACAACCAGUCUCUGCAAUUCCCCAGUUUUUGUCAUUCAUAAGUAAACCUCUGAUUCCUGGAGAUUGCUCCACGACCUGAGGAAGAUCAAUGAGAUCAUAGAGGACAUGGGGCCUCUGCAACCUGGUCUUCCCUCUCUUUCAGUGAUUCUAAGACACUAGCCUCUUGCCAUCUGUGGAUGCUGACAGAGAGAGAAACAGAUAACUUUCCCAGGCAUCAUCCUAGGGAAGUUGUGAGAACACUCAGAGAAAUAAUUAAAACAAUUCUUAUCUUAAUUGCUGCACCUGGUGUUUGUGAACAUGCGGAAUGUUUGUAUGUGAUGCUUAUGGAAAGAUAUUUUACCAGAAGAUGUCGUUCCUAAUUAAUUAAUGGUGUGAGGGGUAUUGUUUAAGAGCCAAUCAGGUUCUGAGUGAACUAUCCUGCCUAUAAAUAUAUGAAGUUCCUAAUGAAAAUUGCUUUAUGCCUUCUGAUCAUAGGAGUCAAUGUCACCGUUCUUCAGCCAUUCCUAACUCAAUGGCGACAGCGUACCACAGGGAAACCUAGUCUUAAGUAAGAGCCAUGUGUAAGAUUUCAUGGUGUCAGUUUAUUGAUUUGAGCAUAAUGCAAAUACUAAUAGAAUAAGGGGUGGAUAAUGUCUUAGGUUGCAAAAUGUCUCUGGGAGUAUGUAUUCUAUUGCCAUCUGUUAGAGGUAGGGCAAUUAUCUUCUGCUAAUUGGGCCACCCGUUAAAACCAGGUGGGACAGUUUUCUUUAUUUCUUACACAACCAGUCCUCCCUCCGGAAAAUAUUUUCUCUUAGUAGGCCAUUGAAUCUCACUGCAUGACUGAUGAAAUUACGUCAUCCCAUUGUGAGACGCUCUACCCAGGGGGAGGAGCCAAGCAUUCCUACCUAGAUAUAAUAUGAGAUUUGCAACACCACAGCAGCCUUUUCCAACUAGAUUCCCAGAAGAGCAGUUUUCUUUUCCCCUGGAUUGCCAGAAGAAGACCAAGCCUAUCUACACCACCACUGGACCUUCAGAGGAAGACUGCACCCUGUAUCAGGAUCACUGUUUCAAGAGAACCACAGCUGUCACACCAAGACUACAGUCACCAUGUAAUCAGAAUGCUACCAACUCCCCGACCAACAGAGUGUCAGGUCAUGUUCUGACUCUGUCAGUAGAUUUUUUUUGUACUGUUGCAUUUGUAUUUUAAUUUUCCUAAUAAAGAACUACUAUUCCUCUCCCAUAUCUUUGCCUGAGAGCCCCUUUAUUUCAAAAUUAUACUAAUUCAGAGAGAAGGAGUUUGCAUUUUCCAUUUCAAGGGAGGCUCCUGCCUUCCUUAGCAGACACCUGUCUUUUCAAACAAAACACAGGGCCAUUACAUUCCACAAGAGGAAUCACUGGUGUACAUUUCAUGGACCUCUCUCAAUCCUAUUAAAGUAUUGUAGUCCUGGUUUAAAAUAGACAGGUAUGAAACAACUUUGAGAGACAGAGACUAAAAUGGCUUGUGGAUUUUUUUUUUAUUACAUAAAAAUUAAAAACUGCAAUAAAAAAGAGUGAAAUAAAUAAGUGCUUUCGUAUAUGAAUAAUUAGAGAAACAGAAAUUUGAAGAUAUGAAUGCACAUUUUCAUAAAAAUAGGAAAUUACAAAUAAAAAAAUAUAUACAUUGAACUACAAUAAAAAGGUCGGUAAGAUUGUACUUUAUUUAGAUUGUAAUUUAUUUAGAUUUUUUUGCAUUGCUGAAGUAUUUUCUUUGUAAAGAGAAGCCGGUAUUUUGAUGAAGAAAUCACAACUGACAAUAAAUUUCCUUACUUUUUCUGGUGCUGAGUAAGACAUCCUGGCUGGAAGGUCUGACUGAAGGCAAAGAACUGGCUCUGUGUGGUCUGGAACUGAAGGAUGUGUUGACUGAAGACCCAGUACCAGCUCUAGUCCCUGUCAUACUGGAGGACAUGUUGCUUGAAGGCACGGUAAGAGCUCUGUUUCCUCUCAUACGGGAGGAUGCAUCCACUGAUGACCCAGUAUUGGUUCUGGUUGGUAUCGGGUUGAUGACUCUGUCCAUUGAUGACCCAAAACCUGCUCUGCCUGGCAUCACACUGGAGGGUGUGCUGGUUUCAGACACACUAUAGAAUCUGCCUGGUGUCACACUGGAGGGUACGUUGGUGUCAGAGGCACUGUGGGUUCUGUGUGCUGCCACAGCAGCAGGUACGUUGGCUCCAGAUACAGAAUGGGCUCUGUGGCUAGGCACUCUCCAGCGUCCUGGAAUAAACAAAAGAAUAAAAAACAAAUCAAGAGAGAAUCUACGUUUGCUGUUAAAUACCUCACAUACCAAAGGGUGUGUAUGUGAAGUCCUUCUAAAUGUUUGCUCCUUAAGUGCUUAUUUGAAACACACUGCACCUGAUUAUUAGACAUAAAUCUUUAAUAGACAAAGGACAUUAGCACAAGUAUCCUUCCCUAGGAAGUGUUGGCAUAACAUUUAUUUGAAGUGCUACAAGUACUUACUUACAGACAUCUUUUACCUCUCAUCAUAUUAAUUCCAAAGCUGUGUUUUUUAAUCAAGGAAACAAACCUAUUCUGCAGUCUCCCUAACAAAAAAUUUAAUGCCGUUUAGCUACCCCACCCCUUUUUCUUCUGAAAAAUGUCUCAAAACAUUUCUGUUUGCUCUAGAUUUAAUGAUCCUGUAUGUCUACAAUUAAGUGUUGUUGUAUUUGGCUAUAGAAUCUGUGCAGCAUGGAGAUGCUGCCUAGGAACCCACAUCCAAGGGACUACAAUUGCUUGAAAAACAGAUUUACCAUCAGCAGUAGAAAUAGGAGCAGUAGGUCUACCAGCGGCUUGUGGUGAAACGUAAGGCUGAAAAAUAUCUGUGGAAUAAAAGUAAGUUUCAAAAACCAAGAAAUGCAUGGAAUGGAAGUAGUUGUAGUUGAAAGGAAAGGCUAUUACAAAAUGUUAAUGGUUUAUAACAGAAAGAAAGGAAAAGGCCUUUGGCUAUAAAAAAAAAAAAAA